UUAAGUAAGGAAGGGCGUACGGCGAAUGCCUUGCCACUCGAAACUGAAGAAGGACGCGCCAAACUGCGAAAAGCUCCGUGAAGCUGUAAGGAAGCGAAGAAGCGGAGGUGUCCGAAUGGGGGAACCCGGCAGCAGACAUGAGCUGUCAUCUGCAGGUGAAUACAUGGCCUGCAAGAGAGGUACCCGGCGAACUGAAACAUCUAAGUAGCCGGAGGAAAAGAAAACAACAGUGAUUCCCUGAGUAGCGGCGAGCGAAAGGGGAGAAGCCCAAACCGGUUGAAGGACCGGGGUUGAAGGACCAUGACAUGGCAAGAACGAGGAUAGGAGAACGGGAUCGAAAGCCCGGCCGAAGAAGGUGAAAGCCCUGUAACCGAAAUCCGAGUAAAGCCUAAUGGGAUCCUGAGUACGGCGAGACACGAGAAAUCUUGUCGGAAGCAGGCGGGACCAUCCGCCAAGGCUAAAUAUAAACGAGUGAGCGAUAGUGAACCAGUACCGUGAGGGAAAGGUGAAAAGAACCGCGGGAGCGGAGUGAAAGAGAACCUGAAACCGUAUGCCUACAAGAAGUCAGAGCCCGUUAAGGGGUGAUGGCGUGCCUUUUGUAGAAUGAACCGGCGAGUUGCGACAGACUGCGAGGUUAAGGAGGAAAGACCGGAGCCGAAGCGAAAGCGAGUCUUAAGAGGGCGAAAGUAGGAUGUUGCAGACCCGAAACCGGGUGAUCUAGCCAUGAGCAGGUUGAAGUUGAGGUGAAACUCAAUGGAGGACCGAACCGACUACCGUUGAAAAGUUAGCGGAUGACUUGUGGCUAGGGGAGAAAUUCCAAUCGAACCCGGAGAUAGCUGGUUCUCCCCGAAAUAGCUUUAGGGCUAGCGUCGGAAAGAACCUUAGUGAAGGUAGAGCACUGAAUGUGUGAUGGCCCCAUCCCGGGGUACUGAAUACAAUCAAACUGCGAAUGUCAUUAAGGAUGUCCGGCAGUCAGACUGUGAGUGAUAAGGUCCAUGGUCAAGAGGGAAACAGCCCAGACCGCCAGUUAAGGUCCCAAAAUACAGGCUAAGUGGAAAAGGAUGUGGGGAUGCCCAGACAACUAGGAGGUUGGCUCAGAAGCAGCCAUCCUUUAAAGAGUGCGUAACAGCUCACUAGUCGAGUGACCCUGCGCCGAAAAUGUACCGGGGCUAAGCCUGAUACCGAAACUGCGGAUUGUAGGAAACUAUAGUGGUAGGGGAGCGUUGUAUACGAGCAGAAGCCGUACCGUGAGGAGCGGUGGAUUGUAUAGAAGUGAGAAUGCCGGUGUGAGUAGCGAGAUGUAGGUGAGAAUCCUACACACCGAAAGCCCAAGGAUUCCAGGGGAAGGUUUGUCCGCCCUGGGUAAGUCGGGACCUAACGCGAGGCCGAAAGGCGUAGUGGAUGGAAAGCAGGCGAAAGAUUCCUGCACCCGUAUAUGGAGCGAAGGAGUGACGGAGACGGAUAGUGUGACCCUCUUAAUGGAUUGAGGGCGAAGCGAAGCGGCUGGUUACCAGGCAAAUCCGGUAACCAUAAGGCUAGAGCGUGACAGGUAAGCGAAAUCUUAGGAAAGUAGCGAAGCACAUGAUGACGGCUUCCAGGAAAAGCUUCUGGCAAUGCAUAUGCGGCCCGUACCAAAACCGACACAGGUGGGCAGGGAGAGAAUCCCGAGGUGAGCGAGAGAACUGUUGCCAAGGAACUCGGCAAAAUGACUCCGUAAGUUAGCGAGAAGGAGUGCUUAAGCAAUUAAGCCGCAGUGAAGAGGCCCAAGCGACUGUUUAACUAAAACACAGCUCUCUGCGAAGUCGCAAGACGAAGUAUAGGGGGUGACACCUGCCCGGUGCUGGAAGGUUAAGAGGAUCUGUUAAGAGUGAUCUGAAGCAGUGAUCCGAAGCCCCAGUGAACGGCGGCCGGAACUAUAACGGUCCUAAGGUAGCGAAAUUCCUUGUCAGGUAAGUUCUGACCCGCACGAAAGGUGUAACGAUUUGGGCGCUGUCUCGGCAGCAGACUCGGUGAAAUCUUAGUACCUGUGAAAAUGCAGGUUACCCGCAACUAGACGGAAAGACCCCAUGGAGCUUUACUGCAGCCUGAUAUUGAAUUCUGGUCAUACAUGUACAGGAUAGGUGGGAGACAAAGAGACGUGCACGCCAGUGUACGAGGAGUCGACGUUGGGAUACCACUCUUGUGUGACCGGGGUUCUAACCUGGUAUCGAGAACAGGUACGGGGAGAGUGUCAGGUGGGCAGUUUGACUGGGGCGGUCGCCUCCCAAAGAGUAACGGAGGCGCCCAAAGGUACGCUCAGAUUGGAUGGAAACCAAUCGUCGAGUGCAAUUGCAGAAGCGUGCUUGACUGUGAGACAGACAAGUCGAACAGGGACGAAAGUCGGGAAUAGUGAUCCGGCGGUGCCGAAUGGAAGGGCCGUCGCUCAACGGAUAAAAGCUACCCUGGG
rnacentral:rRNA from 1 species